rnacentral:rRNA from 1 species
GACGAACGCUGGCGGCGUGCCUAAUACAUGCAAGUAGGACGCAGUUGCGAACGGGUGAGUAACGCGUAGGUAACUACCUAUUAGAGGGGGAUAACUAUUGGAAACGAUCGCUAAUACCGCAUACUAGUAGAUGGACCUUCGUUGUAUUAGCUAGUAGGUAGGGUAAUGGGCUACCUAGGCAAAGAUACAUAGCCGGCCUGGGGGGGGGGUCGGGCAAAACGGGAAUGGGAAAAGGGCCCGACUCCUAAGGGAAGCAGCAGUAGGGGAACGUUGGGAAAGGGGGGAAAGCUGAACGGGCAAAGGCGCGGGAGUGAAGGAGGUUUUUGGAACGUAAAGAUCUGUUGUUAAGGAAGCGGUACUUAACCAGAAAGGGACGGCUAACUACGUGCCAGCAGCCGCGGUAAUAC